rnacentral:lncRNA from 1 species
GCAACAAAGUUCAAUAGUUAGCUUCAAAAGCUACGUCAUUAAUAGUUGCCAAAAUUGUCUGCUUCCUCCUCCAUUUAAUUUGUUUGUAUAAUAGAAAAACUCUGUUGUAUGACCUUCACCCAAAAGAGGAACUUCAUCCCUGCAUAUGAUGUGUAGACAAGAAGUAUCAAUAUCUUAUAAUUGAUUAUUGUAAAAUGGUUCUCUCCUAUUCUUUUGUUCUCAUACGUCCAAAAACCGCAACUCUCUUCUCCAACCACUUAAUCCAAGUGGCAUCCACAGGAUAAAUGAUUCUAUCUUCCUAGUAAGUACUAACUACUGUUGUGAGAGGAGUAUACCCAACUACCUGUGAGAGGCAUUCUAAAAGCAUUUUGCAGCAUUCUUGAUGAAGAAAAGCCACUCCGAAUCGAUCAGCCAAUAGAAGAAGUUGGAGCAACAAAGAAC